rnacentral:lncRNA from 1 species
UUUCAAUUUCCUAGGUUCCAAAUGCUUUCAGUUUUCGAAUUUGGUUUGUUUCUGUAGGCUAAGAUAUUAGAACCACCUCAGUCUCAGGACCUCCUUGUUGGAAGGAGAGGGGACUUUAAGGAGGCAGAGUUGAGGGGAUUUGGAAAGCACCAAAGUGAGCAGCAAGGAACAAUAGGCCCAAGUGAAGCCACAGUGAUGGAUCUUAUUGCAAACCACAGCUUUAAAAAUUCCCCAUUAAAUGCCAAGAUUCUUCACGGAGGGAAGGAACUAAGAUGCCUAUUGAUAAAUACAGACAUUGGAUGACCUCAUCGCCUCUGUCUCCCUCUACCCGCCAGAGUGUCUCUCCGGGUCCCUGGGUAAUUGUGACACUAACAGACUUCUUUGUGGACCAGUCAUUAAUUUUAAUUUAAAAAUUCUUGGAACUGCAUCUGAACUCAAAGGAUUCGACCAAGAAUUAUUGAGGGGUAAAUGGAGAGUCAUGCAGAAGUGACCUUGGGCUGGAGGCAGAGAGUAGAGCAUCCACAAAAGACCAGGAAGAAAAUGAGAUGACUGAGCAUGAGUGAAGCAACUUGGCGAAGAGUCCAAUAGAAGGGAUGCUCUGGGGUCUGAGAGUGUGGAGUUGCCAUCGCUAAGAGGGCAGAGUGACAUGGAUCAGAAGUGCUGGGCAACACAAGUCAUUGUUUGAGAGGCAACUUCUACUGAGAUCAACCCCUGGCUAUGCUGGCUGCUUAUACGAUGAAGAAAAGGAAAGGAAUCGAACAUUCAUCCCACACCAGAGCCGGCUUUCUAAAGUGGUGCUCAUUCCUGUGUUGGGAAUUUCCAGUCUUCUGACGUGUCUCCUAAAGGCAGUGCAUGCCAUCAUGGUGUCCAGUGUGUCUUCCGCGGUGGUCCCAGGGACCCGUUGCAGGCUUCCAGGAAAGCCGUUUUCCCGUUCUGUGCCAUGGUUCAUCCUGCAGAUAAUGGCAGCAUCUUGA